rnacentral:piRNA from 1 species
CACAGGUGGAACCUACGCGUAGCGGAC